rnacentral:rRNA from 1 species
UUGAAUUGAAGAGUUUGAUCAUGGCUCAGAUUGAACGCUGGCGGCAGGCUUAACACAUGCAAGUCGAACGGUAGCACAAGGGAGCUUGCUCCCUGGGUGACGAGUGGCGGACGGGUGAGUAAUGCUUGGGAAUCUGGCUUAUGGAGGGGGAUAACUACUGGAAACGGUAGCUAAUACCGCGUAAUCUCUUCGGAGUAAAGGGUGGGACUUUCGGGCCACCUGCCAUAAGAUGAGCCCAAGUGGGAUUAGGUAGUUGGUGGGGUAAAGGCCUACCAAGCCUGCGAUCUCUAGCUGGUCUGAGAGGAUGGCCAGCCACACUGGAACUGAGACACGGUCCAGACUCCUACGGGAGGCAGCAGUGGGGAAUAUUGCACAAUGGGGGGAACCCUGAUGCAGCCAUGCCGCGUGAAUGAAGAAGGCCUUCGGGUUGUAAAGUUCUUUCGGUGAUGAGGAAGGUGUUUUGUUUAAUAGACAAAGCAAUUGACGUUAGUCACAGAAGAAGCACCGGCUAACUCCGUGCCAGCAGCCGCGGUAAUACGGAGGGUGCGAGCGUUAAUCGGAAUGACUGGGCGUAAAGGGCACGCAGGCGGAUUGUUAAGUGAGAUGUGAAAGCCCCGAGCUCAACUUGGGAAUUGCAUUUCAGACUGGCAGUCUAGAGUAUUUUAGGGAGGGGUAGAAUUCCACGUGUAGCGGUGAAAUGCGUAGAGAUGUGGAGGAAUACCGAAGGCGAAGGCAGCCCCUUGGGAAUAUACUGACGCUCAUGUGCGAAAGCGUGGGGAGCAAACAGGAUUAGAUACCCUGGUAGUCCACGCUGUAAACGAUGUUGAUUUGGGGAUUGAGCUUUAAGCUUGGUGCCCGUAGCUAACGUGAUAAAUCAACCGCCUGGGGAGUACGGCCGCAAGGUUAAAACUCAAAUGAAUUGACGGGGGCCCGCACAAGCG